rnacentral:rRNA from 1 species
UACGUAGGGGGCAAGCGUUGUCCGGAAUCAUUGGGCGUAAAGGGCGCGUAGGCGGCCUGCUAAGUCGGAUGUGAAAUCUCUGGGCUUAACCCAGAAAGGUCAACCGAUACUGCGGGGCUAGAGUGCAGAAGGGGCAACUGGAAUUCUCGGUGUAGCGGUGAAAUGCGUAGAUAUCGGGAGGAACACCGGUGGCGAAGGCGGCGUCCUGGACCAACACUGACACUGAUGAGCGAAAGCCAGGGGAGCAAACGGG